rnacentral:rRNA from 1 species
CAUAUCAAUAAGCGGAGGAAAAGAAACCAACAGGGAUUGCCUCAGUAACGGCGAGUGAAGCGGCAACAGCUCAAAUUUGAAAUCUGGCCCCCGGCCCGAGUUGUAAUUUGCAGAGGAUGCUUCUGGCGCGGUGCCUUCCAAGUCCCCUGGAACGGGGCGCCGAAGAGGGUGAGAGCCCCGUCCGGUCGGCCGCCAAGCCUGUGUGAAGCUCCUUCGACGAGUCGAGUAGUUUGGGAAUGCUGCUCUAAACGGGAGGUAGACCCCUUCUAAAGCUAAAUACCGGCCAGAGACCGAUAGCGCACAAGUAGAGUGAUCGAAAGAUGAAAAGCACUUUGAAAAGAGGGUUAAACAGUACGUGAAAUUGUUGAAAGGGAAGCGCUUGUGACCAGACGUGUGCCGGGGUGCUCAGCGGGCGUUCUCGCCCGUGCACUCGCCCCGGCGCAGGCCAGCGUCGGUUCGCGCGGGGGGACAAAGGCGCCGGGAACGUAGCUCCCCCGGGAGUGUUAUAGCCCGGCGUGCCAUGCCCCCGCGCGGACCGAGGUUCGCGCUCCGCAAGGACGCUGGCGUAAUGGUCUCCAGCGGCCCGUCUUGAAACACGGACCAAGGAGUCGAGGUUUUGCGCGAGUGUUUGGGUGUCAAACCCGCACGCGUAAUGAAAGUGAACGCAGGUGGGAGCUUCGGCGCACCACCGACCGAUCCUGAUGUUCUCGGAUGGAUUUGAGUAGGAGCGUAGGGCCUCGGACCCGAAAGAUGGUGAACUAUACGUGGAUAGGGUGAAGCCAGAGGAAACUCUGGUGGAGGCUCGCAGCGGUUCUGACGUGCAAAUCGAUCGUCAAAUCUGCGUAUGGGGGCGAAAGACUAAUCGA